rnacentral:sRNA from 1 species
AGAGGAAGGUAGCCUAAGAACGGCGACGUCCUGUCGCAACAGCUGCAUGACCCACUUCAUGUGG